GCUGCGAUGGUUAGCUGGUCUGAGAGGAUGAUCAGCCACACUGGAACUGAAACACGGUCCAGACUCCUACGGGAGGCAGCAGUGAGGAAUUUUGCGCAAUGGGGGAAACCCUGACGCAGCAACGCCGUGUGAGUGAAGAAGGCUUUCGGGUCGUAAAGCUCUGUCAAGUGGGAAAAAAUGCCCCCGAUGAAUAGUCGGAGGAGUUGAUGGUACCACUAGAGGAAGCACCGGCUAACUCCGUGCCAGCAGCCGCGGUAAUACGGAGGGUGCAAGCGUUGUUCGGAAUUAUUGGGCGUAGAGCGCGUGCAGGCGGUUUGGUAAGUCAGAUGUGAAAGCCCUGGGCUCAACCCAGGAAGUGCAUUUGAAACUACCUUACUUGAGUAUGGGAGAGGAGAGUGGAAUUCCCAGUGUAGAGGUGAAAUUCGUAGAUAUUGGGAAGAACACCCGUGGCGAAGGCGACUCUCUGGACCAAUACUGACGCUGAGACGCGAAAGCGUGAGGAGCAAACAGGAUUAGAUACCCUGGUAGUCCACGCCGUAAACGAUGAGAACUAGGUGUAGCGGGUAUUGACCCCUGCUGUGCCGGAGCUAACGCAUUAAGUUCUCCGCCUGGGGAGUACGGCCGCAAGGCUAAAACUCAAAGGAAUUGACGGGGGCCCGCACAAGCGGUGGAGCAUGUGGUUUAAUUCGACGCAACGCGAAGAACCUUACCUGGAUUUGACAUCCUUUGACAUCCUGGGAAACCAGGCCUUCCCUGCUUGCAGGGACAGAGUGACAGGUGCUGCAUGGCUGUCGUCAGCUCGUGUCGUGAGAUGUUGGGUUAAGCCCCGCAACGAGCGCAACCCUUGUCUUUAGUUGCCAGUAUUAAGUUAGGCACUCUAAAGAUACUGCCUCGGUUAACGAGGAGGAAGGUGGGGAUGACGUCAAGUCCUCAUGGCCUUUAUAUCCAGGGCUACACACGUGCUACAAUGGGCGGUACAAAGGGUUGCUAUACCGCGAGGAGGCGCUAAUCCCAAAAAGCCGUUCUCAGUUCGGAUCGGAGUCUGCAACUCGACUUCGUGAAGUUGGAAUCGCUAGUAAUCGUGGAUCAGCGUGCCACGGUGAAUACGUUCCCGGGCCUUGUACACACCGCCCGUCACACCACGAAAGUUGGCUGUACCAGAAGUUGCUGGGCUAACCCACCUCGGUGGGGGGCAGGUACCUAAGGUACGGUUGAUAAUUGGGGUGAAGUCGAAACAAGGUAGCCGUAGGGGAACCUGCGGCUG
rnacentral:rRNA from 1 species